rfam:Candidatus Woesebacteria bacterium RIFCSPHIGHO2_01_FTLL_40_22 rifcsphigho2_01_scaffold_651, whole genome shotgun sequence.
UGAAGUCUUUACUAACGCAGACAGUGAAUGCCUAGGAUUUACCUACCGAAGAAGGACGCACAUGGUUGCGAUAAUCGCCGGGGAGGAGCCACGAUCCAUUGAUCCGACGGUGUCCGAAUGGGGAAACCCAACCAUAAUUAUAUUUGGUUACCCUAUGGUAAAAAUCCCGACUUGUCGGGGUAUAACCGUAGCGGGGGAGACCGCCCGAACUGAAACAUCUAAGUAGGGUGAGGAAAAUAAAUCAAACGAGAGAUUCCGUCAGUAGCGGCGAGCGAAAGCGGAAUAGCCUAAACUGCCCCAUAUUCGCAAGAAUAUGGGCGCAGGGUUGCGGGAUUCCAAUAUGGGUUCUUUAUGAAUAGUAGAAGUAUCUGGAAUGGUACACCAUAGAAAGUGAAAGUCUUGUAUACAAAAUUUAUAAAGAAUCUUAGGAAUAUCCCAAGUACCACGGUGCAUCUACACCGUGGGAAGCUGGGGGAACCAUCCUCCAAGGCUAAAUAUAGGUAGAUACCGAUAGUGAACAAGUACCGUGAGGGAAAGGCGAAAAGAAGGGCGAGACGCCCAGUGAAAUAGAACCUGAAACUGUUUGCGGACAAACCGAUAGAGCCCCGCACCAAAUUGGCAGCUGAUUUUCAAAAUAUGAGACAUGAGUUUAUUUAUUGUUUAAACUUUCAAUAAACUUAAAGUUUAGUUAAUGUUAACAUUCAAAUCAAUGAAAUAUUUUCUGCCAACUUGGUGCGGGGUGAUAUCGUGCCUAUUGAAGAAUGAGCCGGCGAGUGGCCGUUAGAUAACUAUCUAAACCCUUAAACGGGUGGAGGUGAAGGGAAACCGAGUGCGAAUAGCGCGUGUUACCUUUUGGUAACGAGUAUCUGAUGGCCGACCCGAAACCAGGCGAUCUAGCCAUGAGCAGGGUGAAUUCCGAUGAAGAUUGGAAGGAGGCCCGAACCCGUCGUUGUUGCAAUAACGUGGGAUGACUUGUGGAUAGUGGUAAUAUGCCAACCGAGCCUGGAGAUAGCUGGUUCUCCCCGAAAGGUCUAUAGGGACCGUGGUACGAAAAGUAUAUUGAUGGUAGAGAUACUGGAUGGAUGAGAGAGCGCAAGCAAUUUCAUUCAACCAAACUCCGAAUAACAAUAUAUAACAACGUACUAGACAGUCGCAUCGGGCUAAGCUGAUGCGUCCAAAGGGAAACAACCCAGACUCUCGGCUAAGGCCUCUAAAUCGCAGCUAAGUUUGAAAGGAAGUCGGUUUCCGUAAACAGCCAGGAGGUUGGCUUAGAAGCAGCCACCCUUUAAAGAUAGCGUAACAGCUCACUGGUCGAUGGAAGCAGGCGCCUAAAAUUUAUCGAGGAUAAGUUGCGUGCCGAAGCUAGAGAUACCUGUUCGUAGAACAGGAAUGAUAAAUGCUAAAUGAUAAAUGCUAAAUGUAAAAGAAGCAGUAAGUUUAAAUAUGGCUUCUAAUAAUACAUUGGUUAUUUGCCAUUGGAAAUUGGUCAUUCCCGCUCUGCGAGCGGGUGUGGUAGGGGAGCGUUCCGUAUCCAGUGAAGCUUCGCCGUGAGGCGGAGUGGAAGGUACGGAAGUGAGAAUGCCGGUAUGAGUAGCGUACAAUCCCAGUGAGAAUCUGGGACGCCGUAAGCCCAAGGUUUCCGUCGCUAGGUUCGUCCACGACGGGUUAGUCGAUACCUAAGAUGAGCCCCGCACCUAAGUGGCAUAAAAUAUUACCUUAAUUGGAUCAGAUUAACCUUAAUAAUUUAUUUGAAGAAUAUAGUUUAGUGAUUAUUAAGAGUAAGAUUCAUAUUUUGGAAAAUAAGAUGCCAUUUUGGUGCGGGGGUAGUCGAUGGAUGAGUGGUUAAAAUUCCACUAUUUGUUUUAGAUCGCCCACCACGUUCAUGCGCAAGUACUGAACGUGGAGCUGGGGAUUGACUGGAUAGGAUGAUUAAAGUCCCGAUGUGAUAUCGGGGUGUAAGCUGUUAGAUAGGGUCAGUUGGAAAAUCCGCUGAAACGAUUAAUCAAGCAGCAAUGCAGAGCCCUAAGAGAUUGGGGCAAUUUUAUCCCAUUCUGUCUACAAGAAAAGGUUCGCAGCGAGAUCUAAAUCAAGUCGUACCGCAAACCAACACAGGUGGGCAGCUAGAGAAUAGUAAGGCGAGCGAGAGAAAGAGGUUUAAGGAACUCGGCAAAAAAGCUGGAUGUAACUUCGGAAGAUAUCCUCCCCGCACCAAUUUAGCAGAAAAUAUUACUGAUUCGAAUUUGAGUCUUAUUUUAUAUUUAACUUGAAUAAUAUUACUUAAGUUUUAUAUAAGUAGGAUUCAUAUUUUGGAGAAUCAGCUGCUAAAUUGGUGCGGGGCGCAGCAAAUGUUUGCUAACCGACUGUUUAUCAAAAACACAGGUCCGUGCAAAGCUGAAAGGCAAAGUAUACGGGCUGACGCCUGCCCAGUGCCGGUAAGUUAAGCGGCGUUGUGCUUCGCACAAAGAAUGUUAAAUGACCAAAAGGCAAAUGCUAAAUGAAUUUAAUUUAUCAUUUUGUUUUUUAUAAUUUGGCUUUUUUGCGCGAAGCGCAGCAAUGUCAAGCUCCGGUAAACGGCAGCAGUAACUAUGAAAUAGUCGUAGUUCUAAAACCUAGCUAUAUGCUGGAAUAUCCGUACUGUAGUGAUUUUCAAGUAGAAUGGAAAUAACGAACAGUUGAAGUAUCUGACGCUACCAUUUAAAAUGGUAACAAUGCGAUCAGUGCGGACAAUCAGCAGGAAAGGCCUCCAAGUAAUUUCUAAUUACUAAUUUCUAAUUAACCUAAUCAAACCCCAAUUUAAGAAUGACCCAACUAAGUUUUGUUUUAGUCAUUUGAAAUUGGUCAUUAAAUAAUUUGUUAGAAAUUAGAGCAAUUAAGUCAAUUAGUAAUUUUUGAAGGAAUCCUCAGAGACUACACGCUAGGCUACGUUCAGUUUACAUGAACGUGGAUGAUAUAGUCCGAUCUGCAUAGCAAUAUGCAGUCUACGUAAAAUCGUAGUCCCGGAUUCGAUCGGGAUAACAUAUUGAACUGUUCUACGGUAGCGAAGUCCCUCGUCGGGUAAGUUCCGACCUGCACGAAAGGCGUAACGAGUUAGCAACUGUCUCAAGCCUCUACUCGGCGAAAUUGCGUUGGCUGUGAAGACGCGGCCUAAUUCCACCAGGACAAAAAGACCCCGUGGAGCUUUACUGUAGCUUAACAUUGGUUUGUGCGAUCUAAUUGUUUAGAGUAGGAGGGAGCCCGUGUGUAGCACGGAAAUGCUAAAUGCUAAAAAGAUGAAUGCUAAAUGAAACUAAUUUAUCAUUUGCUUUUUUGUAAUUUGACAUUUGCGAGCUAUGCGCGAGCGACACUGAAACACCUCCCUUUAGAGCGUGGCAAGUCUUACCUAAUCCCGAUGAAUACUCGGGAAGGGAAAGUGUUAGGUGGGCAGUUUUACUGGGGCGGUACCUUGCCAAAGAGUAACGCAAGGGUACAAAGGUUGGCUUAGCACGGAUGGACAUCGUGCGUAAUGUAUAAAGGCAAAAGCCAGCUUGACUGCGAGAGUGACGGCUCAAGCAGGUACGAAAGUAGGUCUUAGUGAUCCUCCAAUCCUGCAUGGAAGGGUUGGAGCUUAACGGAUAAAAGCUACCCCGGGGAUAACAGAGUAGUCGCGCCCGAGCGUCCAUAGCGACGGCGCGGAUCGCUACCUCGAUGUCGGCUCACCACAUCCUGGCGCUGGAGAAGGUGCCAAGGGUUGGUCUGUUCGCCCAUUAAAGUGGUACGUGAGCUGGGUUCAGAACGUCGUGAGACAGUUCGGACUCUAUCCGGUGGAAUCGUAGAACCUUGAAGGAAGCUGUGCUCAGUACGAGAGGACCAGCAUGGGGGAAUCUCUGGUGUGCCGGUUGUGGCGUCAGCCGCAAAGCCGGGUAGCUAUAUUCCCAAGGGAUAACCGCUGAAAGCAUCUAAGUGGGAAGCCCCUCCUAAGAUUAGGGUUCAUUUUAGACUCCUGGAAGAAUACCAGGUCGCCGCAAGGCGAACCUCGUCUGGCUCGCAAGAGCGAGACGGGUUGUUCGGCAGGGUGUGGAAGGACAGUAAUGUCUUAAGCUAACCUGAUCCGAAUAAGUCGAUAAGACUUUAUA